CGCGGUGGUCUGUGCAGAUGGAGCUCCCGGGAAAGCAGUGUGGGUGUGUGGAGAUGAGGGUUUUCGGGGCGCGGUGGUCGGUGCAGAUGGUGGUCCCCAGAGUGCAGUGGGGGUCUGUGGAGAUAAAGGUCCCCGGCCUGCGCUGGGGGUGCGGGCCCUUCUCAGCCUAAGCACUACUGACCCUCGGGGCCGGAUCAUGCAUCUUCGUGGGGCUGCCCUGGGCGGCUGCAGCGCAUUCAUUAGCGGCUCUGGUCUGUGUCCACUAGAUGGCAGUAGGUGCCCACUAAUGGUGAGAAUCCGGACGUCCGCACGCGUCCUGUCCACCGGGGAACUGAAUCACCCCUCACUGAGUGCCCCGGCUAGACAGGGCUGGAGAGAAACCAACAGAUCUGACUGACGGAUGGAUGGAUGCAUACGUAGAUAAUGAGAGAUAACAGAUUAAAUAGGUAAGAGCCAUGUCUGGUCAGGGUCUCUGCCCUACCGCCGUCUGGGGCUGGACGAGUCUCUAUGGGGGGUGUCCUGUGCACUGUGGGGUGUGGAGCAGCUCUGUUCUCCCCCUACCACAUGCCAGGGGCAGCCCCUGCCCCCAGUGCUGAGAAGCAAGAUGACCCCUGACUAAUUCAUACCACGUAUAUUUAAACUAAUACAUAUCUUUGUGUUCAUGUGACUGUAUAUAAGAACCCGGGUCUCUUGCCUUGCAGGCAGAUUCUUUACCACUGCACCCCCAG
rnacentral:lncRNA from 1 species